GGAGUUAUAGCUCAGUGGUAGAGCGGCUGACUGCAGAUCAGCAGGUCUCGAGUUCGAUUCUCGAUGGCUCCU
rfam:Monoraphidium neglectum strain SAG 48.87 unplaced genomic scaffold scaffold03470, whole genome shotgun sequence.